UAACGAGGAACGAUCGGAGGGCAAGUCUGGUGCCAGCAGCCGCGGUAAUUCCAGCUCCAAUAGCGUACGUUAAAGUUGCUGCAGUUAAAAAGCUCGUAGUUGAACGUUCGGGGUUUCCCGCGGGGACGGGGCCGCCCCGCGAGGGACGGCGCCGCCCCGGGGGCUCGUGAUAUCUCAUCUCGCCGCCCGUCGCGAGGCGGACGGAGGGAUGGAUGAGGUUACCUGGAAAAAAUCGGGGCGAUCUAGGCGGGCGAACCUCGCCAACGAACGAUCGGACAUGGGAUAACGGAAGAGGGCGUCGGCUCGGACUUCGUCGGUUCCUCGGGCCGAGGCACGUACGGUGAAUAGGGGACGGUCGGGGCCGCCCGUACCGGGUCGUGAGAGGUGAAAUUCUAGGAUCGACCCGAGACGAACCGCCGCGAAAGCAUUCGGCAAGGACGCUUUCA
rnacentral:rRNA from 1 species